CAGAUUAAAAGAGUGGUUUCGGCUUUCCCCUUUUGGAAGGUCCCCCGGGGUUAUUAACUAGAAUGGUGGGGUAACGGCUCCCACCUGGCAAAUGAAUCGUACCCCACCUGAGAGGGUUAUUCGCCCACAUGGGGAUUGAGACCCGGCCCAAAUUCCUACCGGGAGGCAGCAGUAGGGAAUUUUUCCACAAUGGACGAAAGUCUGAUGGAGCAACGCCGCGUGAAUGAAGAAGGGUUUCGGCUCGUAAAACUCUGUUGUUAAAGAAGAACAUAUCUGAGAGUAACUGUUCAGGUAUUGACGGUAUUUAACCAGAAAGCCACGGCUAACUACGUGCCAGCAGCCGCGGUAAUACGUAGGUGGCAAGCGUUGUCCGGAUUUAUUGGGCGUAAAGCGAGCGCAGGCGGUUUUUUAAGUCUGAUGUGAAAGCCUUCGGCUCAACCGAAGAAGUGCAUCGGAAACUGGGAAACUUGAGUGCAGAAGAGGACAGUGGAACUCCAUGUGUAGCGGUGAAAUGCGUAGAUAUAUGGAAGAACACCAGUGGCGAAGGCGGCUGUCUGGUCUGUAACUGACGCUGAGGCUCGAAAGUAUGGGUAGCAAACAGGAUUAGAUACCCUGGUAGUCCAUACCGUAAACGAUGAAUGCUAAGUGUUGGAGGGUUUCCGCCCUUCAGUGCUGCAGCUAACGCAUUAAGCAUUCCGCCUGGGGAGUACGGCCGCAAGGCUGAAACUCAAAGGAAUUGACGGGGGCCCGCACAAGCGGUGGAGCAUGUGGUUUAAUUCGAAGCUACGCGAAGAACCUUACCAGGUCUUGACAUACUAUGCAAAUCUAAGAGAUUAGACGUUCCCUUCGGGGACAUGGAUACAGGUGGUGCAUGGUUGUCGUCAGCUCGUGUCGUGAGAUGUUGGGUUAAGUCCCGCAACGAGCGCAACCCUUAUUAUCAGUUGCCAGCAUUAAGUUGGGCACUCUGGUGAGACUGCCGGUGACAAACCGGAGGAAGGUGGGGAUGACGUCAAAUCAUCAUGCCCCUUAUGACCUGGGCUACACACGUGCUACAAUGGAUGGUACAACGAGUUGCGAACUCGCGAGAGUAAGCUAAUCUCUUAAAGCCAUUCUCAGUUCGGAUUGUAGGCUGCAACUCGCCUACAUGAAGUCGGAAUCGCUAGUAAUCGCGGAUCAGCAUGCCGCGGUGAAUACGUUCCCGGGCCUUGUACACACCGCCCGUCACACCAUGAGAGUUUGUAACACCCAAAGUCGGUGGGGUAACCUUUUAGGAACCAGCCGCCUAAGGUGACAGAAUUGU
rnacentral:rRNA from 1 species